rnacentral:rRNA from 1 species
UACGUAGGGGGCAAGCGUUGUCCGGAUUUAUUGGGCGUAAAGAGCGUGUAGGCGGCCCGGUAAGUCCGCUGUAAAAGUCAAAGGCUCAACCUUUGAAUGUCAGUGGAUACUGCCGGGCUAGAGUCCGGAAGAGGCGAGUGGAACUCCUGGUGUAGCGGUGGAAUGCGCAGAUAUCAGGAAGAACACCAACGGCGAAGGCAGCUCGCUGGGACGGUACUGACGCUGAGACGCGAAAGCGUGGGGAGCGUACAGG